CCAACAUCGUGAUAUCAUUCUCCCAUAUGAAGUUGUGGAGCAGCUGUUGCAUACCAGUAAAAAAUGUGACAAGAGAUAUUUGUUACACCUGUAUUUGCAUGCUUUAUUUGAGAUAGAUAUACACGCUGGAAAGGAUUUUCAUGAUAUGCAGGUGGAGCUUUAUGCAGACUACGAGACAAGGAUGCUACUACCCUUCCUUCUAACCAGUCAGCAUUACAGGCUUGACAAGGCAUAUGAAAUCUUUGCACAAAAAGAACUUGUAAGGGAGCAAGUUUUGUCCUUGGUCGAAUGGGCAAUGCUAAGGAAGC